AUGAACGCUGGCGGCGUGCCUAAUCCAUGCAAGUCGAGCGAACAGAUGAGGAGCUUGCUCCUCUGACGUUCGCGGCGGACGGGUGAGUAACACGUGGAUAACCUACCUAUAAGACUGGGAUAACUUCGGGAAACCGGAGCUAAUACCGGAUAAUAUAUUGAACCGCAUGGUUCAAUAGUGAAAGACGGUUUUGCUGUCACUUAUAGAUGGAUCCGCGCCGCAUUAGCUAGUUGGUAAGGUAACGGCUUACCAAGGCAACGAUGCGUAGCCGACCUGAGAGGGUGAUCGGCCACACUGGAACUGAGACACGGUCCAGACUCCUACGGGAGGCAGCAGUAGGGAAUCUUCCGCAAUGGGCGAAAGCUUGACGGAGCAACGCCGCGUGAGUGAUGAAGGUCUUCGGAUCGUAAAACUCUGUUAUUAGGGAAGAACAAAUGUGUAAGUAACUAUGCACGUCUUGACGGUACCUAAUCAGAAAGCCACGGCUAACUACGUG
rnacentral:rRNA from 1 species